GACGAACGCUGGCGGCGUGCCUAAUACAUGCAAGUCGAGCGGAAUGAUGAAGAAGCUUGCUUCUUCUGAUUUUAGCGGCGGACGGGUGAGUAACACGUGGGCAACCUACCUUGUAGAUUGGGAUAACUCCGGGAAACCGGGGCUAAUACCGAAUAAUCCAUUUUGCUUCAUGGCGAGAUGUUGAAAGACGGUUACGGCUGUCACUACAAGAUGGGCCCGCGGCGCAUUAGCUAGUUGGUAGGGUAAUGGCCUACCAAGGCGACGAUGCGUAGCCGACCUGAGAGGGUGAUCGGCCACACUGGGACUGAGACACGGCCCAGACUCCUACGGGAGGCAGCAGUAGGGAAUCUUCCACAAUGGACGAAAGUCUGAUGGAGCAACGCCGCGUGAGUGAAGAAGGUUUUCGGAUCGUAAAACUCUGUUGUAAGGGAAGAACACGUACGAGAGUAACUGCUCGUACCUUGACGGUACCUUAUUAGAAAGCCACGGCUAACUACGUG
rnacentral:rRNA from 1 species